rnacentral:rRNA from 1 species
UACGUAGGGUGCGAGCGUUAAUCGGAAUUACUGGGCGUAAAGCGUGCGCAGGCGGUCUGUUAAGACCGAUGUGAAAUCCCCGGGCUUAACCUGGGAACUGCAUUGGUGACUGGCAGGCUUUGAGUGUGGCAGAGGGAGGUAGAAUUCCACGUGUAGCAGUGAAAUGCGUAGAUAUGUGGAGGAACACCGAUGGCGAAGGCAGCCCCCUGGGCUAACACUGACGCUCAUGCACGAAAGCGUGGGGAGCAAACAGG